GUGGAAGCUUUUGACAGCACUUCAGUCCACCUGUCUCCUGGGUGAUCUGCUCCAGAGCCUGAACCAGGUAAACUUCAUUCAGCUCCUGCUGAGAUGUCCUGCCAGCAAAGCCAGCAGCAGUGCCAGCCCCUCCCAAGUGUCCCCCAAAAUGUCCACCCAAGUGUACUCCUAAGUGUCCUCCCAAGUGUCCCCCCAAAUGCCCCCCCAUGUGCCCAGCCCCUUGUCCACCUCCAGUGUCCUGCUGUAACCCCAGCUCUGGGGAUUGCUGUAGCUCUGGGGGUGGGGACUGCUACAGCUCUGGGGGUGGCGGCUGCUGCCUGAGCCACCACAGGCCCCGCCGAUCUUUUCGACGCCAACAUCGGAACUCUGACUGCUGUGGUAGUGGUAGCAGCCAGAAUUCUGGGGGCUCUGGCGGCUGCUCUGGGGGCUGUUGCUGACCUGGGCCAUGAGGAGCACUGAGGAGCAGCAUCGGAGGAGCCAAAGUGCCAACGACCUGCCUAGCCCGAGACUUCUCUUCUCCCGUUUCCCAUGGAAGGGCUUCUGAAAUGCUCUGAGUUUUCCUCUUCUCCUUGCCCACGUUCAUUCCACUGUGAGGUCUAGAGGUCUAACCUCUGGUAAUCACCGGCCUUUUUCUCCUCAGGCAUAGUUCUUUGGAGUACUUGGUGUCGGAGUUUAGUUACGCAGCUGUUUUCUCCGUAACAAUAAAGCUUUUUAUUCCUGA